AAAAAAAAAAAAAAAGGAAAGAAAAGCCUCUUUCCAGCUAGGCCAUCUUCCUAGAAUGUGUGGGCGGGGAGGGGAGAUGGAUAUACUGAAGGGUAGAGAAAAGGUUUGGAACAAAUGUGUGAGGAAUAGAAACAUUUUGGAGUCCAGGAAGAACUCGAAGUUAAACAGCAGAAAUUGUAGCAGACCCAGUUGGCAUGGCGUGUUUUUCAUUAUUUGACACACCAGGACCAGGGAUGAGGACAUCUAAAUGUAAGACUGGGUCAUCUUGGAAUGAUUUCCCUUGGCAACUUGGCUUAGGAGAAAAACAGAAGAGUUUGAAGUUUCCUGUGGUCUCUUGUGAGAGCAGAGAGCGUUCUUUGGGCACAAGAGUGUGGGAAAGAUGGAAAGGAAGUUUUGGACACUCAGAGAACACUGAGGGUAAAACAGUGCUCAAUAAAGAUGAGGCCCUAAAGAUACUAAGACCUGUGAGUGAUUGAAAUGGAGCAGGAAUUGCACUAUCUUUUUGAGAAGAUGGAGGAAGAGGGGAACAGAGUGCUGGAUUGUGAGUUUAUUAGGAUAGGGCCAAAGGUCCUCUUUAUUUUGGUAUCCCAGACCUUAGCAUGUUGUCAGGCACAUAGUGGAUGCUUAAUAAAUCCCUGCUGAAAUAAAUUAAGCUGAAUAUUAUCCAGGAUGAUGGCAGAAGAUGAAGACAGAAAGCAAAUUCUGAAAUUACUGGGCUGUAGACAAGGUUGGCAUGUGCAGGUCUUGUCUAAUGCAGAGGAGGUGACCUAGUUUAUCUUGCCAAGCACCCCGUCAAGGGCUUUCCCUUCCUUUCUCUAUGACUGACUUCACAAAUAAGAGGUAAUUUCCCUAACUGUUGCCAGCUGUGCCUCCCACUUCUAUAGGAUGGGUUUCUGCUUAUCAUCCUAAUACAAAAUUAUAUUCUCCUGCUUGCCAGUAUGAAUGCAUUUUAUGGGAAUGGCUUUGACUACAUUCUUGAUAAAAGAGUGAUUCCUAGGGAUUCAGUAAAUACAAUAUCGAGAAAAUGAAACAGAAAUGAGAACCUAGGUAACUUGUAUUAGAGAUGGGGUAGUUUAUUUGUGGAUUGCUGAAUUUUGAAAGAUAGCCAGGAAAGAAAAAAUAAAUCAAACAGCCAGCACUGCUAAAUGUAGGUUUUUUUCUCAUUUAUUUUGCCAAGUGUGGAUGGUUGUUAAUUAUAUAGUUAUGAUAAUACUUCGCAGCUUACUUAUGAUUGUCCUGAAGCAUGUUUUCUAAAUGUAGUAAAGUCCGGACUGCAUGGGGC
rnacentral:lncRNA from 1 species